UGUGAAAUUUAACAAUCUGAUUCUACAACUUCUAUGGGAAAGCAAAGGGUUAAGAGAACCAAGACAAAUUGGAAGACUAACAAGGCUCCUUAUACAUGCAUAGUAACUUAGACAGUGUGGCCCUGGUGCAGGGAUGGACAGAAGGAUGAAAUAAAACAGAGUGUCACUAACAGUGCCACGUGGGUACUGAAAACAGUGCCACAUGCCCCAAAAAGAUGAUGCUGAAAUCUAGUGGAGAAGGAAUGAACUACUCACAGUGGUGUUUGGAUGUAAUCAAUAUAAACUUUGAUCCCUAGCAUAAAUUGUAUGGAAAAAAAACAAAUCCCAGGGUAUUAAAAGGCCUAAAUAUGAAAAACCACAAUUUUCACAUCUUUAGAAAAACCAAAAGCUCCUAUAAGCAAGGUGAAGAGACAAGCCUGAAGCUAGUGGAGGAUAUUUGUAACAUAUAAAACCAGGAAAGGAUUACAUGGACAAAUGAAGAAAGCGAUAAGAAAAUCGAUGGGAAAAAGGCAAACAAGCAUGUCGAAAAAUAGGCAAAGGCUCUGAACAAAUCACAGAAGGCAAAUCACAGAAGAAAAUCGCGGGAAGGACAAGCAUAUAUAUGUGACUUGCUGCGUAAUCAGGGAAAGGAGAAGACAGAGACUUAAAAGUCUGGUACCAGCCAGGUCCAUCAGGGAAGCCACAUCAGAGGCUGUGCAAUGCCAUACACACAACGGAGAGAUCAGAGGAAGUCGGUGCCUCGAAUACAGCAGGUGCUCCGGACAUGCGCUCUCUUCCCCUCAUGGCUCGGGCUCCUGCCUCCCUAGGACUCUCACGUGGCCCAUCCUCUCUAAAACAUAGAACCCACGACAGAGGCAGCCGCAGUGCCACGGAGGAAGGGGGGGGCUUUCAGUCAGAGGACCCGGACUUAUUGUGGACCUCUGCACAGGUUCUUUGACUCUGCAUCGGUUUCCUCUUCUGCAGAGAGAUAACUACAGCGACCUUGACGUGACCCCGCUGAUGCCAACGGGCCAGUGAAGCUGCAGCUUAAACUGGACAGAGGCACACAAAGGGGAGUCAGCACUAAUGCCCCACUGCUGGGGGUCACGUGCCAGGUCUCUUCAUUGCAAUCAAUGGUUCUCGCCCAGAAAGAGCAUCAGCCUUUCCAACUCCUGCUUGCGUGGAGGAAUCAGGACCCCGCCAGCGCAAGCAACCAAUAGGAGAAAAUGGCGGCUCUAUUCUUUUUUCCUGCCAGUGUGUAACCUUCAUGGGGGUGGACAGGCUAGAUUUCAAACAAGGGGCAGGUUGACUCUUCCUCUGUGUCUAUUUCCAGAGCUGUAAUGUACACUCUCUUUCUCCCACAUCCUGCCUUCUAUUUUCUUCCCUCUGCAAGGCACUUUUAAUACCGAUUUAUUAAAAAACAGGCAAUUUAAGAUCCGGCUUAAAAAGAGUCUCUUGCAUCAUUAGGCUGAGUUAAAAUUCCGAGCACAAAGGCUUCUGGAGGAGAAACACAGGACACGCAGCCAGGAGGCUGGACUUUGCUAGAUGUUGCUGAGCCAACAGCUGCCCAUGGGACCCGAGGCAAAGCCACAUGACCUCUUUGGGGCCCCACCUUCUCAUCCUAAGUUCUUAUAGGACAUGAAAAGACCCUCAGAACACUAGUUCACUCUGCACACACACAUUUAUAUUUAACACUCACAUUUAUAUGUUUAUGUUUUAACACUGGGGUGGGAUCUUUUCCAAUAUGUACAUUAUGAAACUCUGGCUCAGGUUUCAGAGCCAAGGAGCCCUGGAACCACCCAGGACCGCUCUUUCUGGGUGCACUGUCCUCAUCCCCAGCUGUUUCCAAAAUCAGUCACUUUCCCUUUUGAUGUCUGGGACCCAUUACUUUCAUUUUUGACUUAACCAACAGGUGUUCUCAGACUCUUUUCGUGAUGGGCUGUCUUCCCUCGGGGUUCCAGGCAGAUGGAAUUUUUCUUAAAUGAUUACCGAGGGGCACAGAGAAAUAUAUUUUCCCGGCUCCCCCGGCUCCGCUGUUGGAACUGCAGUCUGUUGCGACCACCCUGACUUCUCGACAUUUCCUGCUUCUUGGAAGAUGCAGGGAGGCCUCCUCCUUCCAGGGGUGUAGCUUCAAGACGUCUGAGCCUCCGUCAGCCUGGGUCUUUGACGAGACGUGUGGAAGAGUGACGCCACCAAGCCACACUGAACGUGUGACAGGGGCAGGAAAUAAGAACAGAAAUCUUCGUGUGACCUAACUAGUCCCUGGGAAAGUCAUCAAAUAGCAGGCAACCAAUGAUAAAAUGACGACUGGCAUCUUGAAAUCUAGUAAAAGUUUCUGUUUAGUAGCCAUAGAAAAACAGAAAAGUGUUUACCACCCUGCAAGGUCCCACAGGACCAGAACGUACUCGGCUGGUUAGGUCGACUCUAAAAGCCUGUUGGAAAAGUACCACGAGCACAAGUAACAGGAACAACUACAACAGCUACCUCAUCUGAGUGCUCGGAGAGCGCCAGGACCCGCCAUCUCCUUCAAACUUCACAAGGAACCUUGGAGGGAGUUAUUAUUACAAUUGUCCCCAUCUGACAAAUGAAAAUCUCUAAAAGCAGUCAUUUCACUGUAAUAGUUUACAACAACAGAGUGGGAGAGAAUGUGCAUCUAGGUUGGUUUGUUUCACACCCUAUAGUCCUGGUGUCAGUUUACGCCAAUGACCAUGACUUGAGUAUCAGGGCAGCCGGCCUAGAGUGGCACAGAAAUGAAGGAAGGAAACCUCUAGUAUGUCUACUAUGUAAAGAAGUUCACGGACAGUGUUGGAUGCCAGUCCUUCCAGGAAUAAAUACGUCCAAUCUUUCUAAAAAUAAAAAAAUAGAAGCUCA